rnacentral:rRNA from 1 species
GACGAACGCUGGCGGCGUGCUUAACACAUGCAAGUCGAACGGAAAGGCCCCUUUGGGGGUACUCGAGUGGCGCACGGGUGAGUAACACGUGAGUAACCUGCCCUUGACUUCGGGAUAACUUCAGGAAACUGGGGCUAAUACCGGAUAGGAAUCCUUGCUGCAUGGUGGGGGUUGGAAAGCUUCGGCGGUUUUGGAUGGACUCGCGGCUUAUCAGCUUGUUGGUGGGGUAGUGGCUUACCAAGGCUUUGACGGGUAGCCGGCCUGAGAGGGCGACCGGCCACAUUGGGACUGAGAGACGGCCCAGACUCCUACGGGAGGAAGCAGUGGGGAAUAUUGCACAAUGGGCGGAAGCCGGAUGCAGCAACGCCGCGUGCGGGAUGACGGCCUUCGGGUUGUAAACCGCUUUCAGCAGGGGCGAAGCUUGUGGUGACGGUACCUGCAGAAGAAGCACCGGCUAACUACGUG